UUGAACGCUGGCGGCAUGCCUUACACAUGCAAGUCGAACGGUAACGCGGGGCAACCUGGCGACGAGUGGCGAACGGGUGAGUAACAUAUCGGAACGUGCCCAGUAGUGGGGGAUAGCCCGGCGAAAGCCGGAUUAAUACCGCAUACGACCUACGGGUGAAAGGGGGGGAUCGCAAGACCUCUCGCUAUUGGAGCGGCCGAUAUCAGAUUAGGUAGUUGGUGGGGUAAAGGCCCACCAAGCCGACGAUCUGUAGCUGGUCUGAGAGGACGACCAGCCACACUGGGACUGAGACACGGUCCAGACUCCUACGGGAGGCAGCAGUGGGGAAUUUUGGACAAUGGGGGCAACCCUGAUCCAGCCAUGCCGCGUGAGUGAAGAAGGCCUUCGGGUUGUAAAGCUCUUUCAGCCGGGAAGAAAUCACAUGGGUUAAUACCCUGUGUGGAUGACGGUACCGGAAUAAGAAGCACCGGCUAACUACGU
rnacentral:rRNA from 1 species